AUAAUGGUACUUCCGUCCAGUCACAGUCCGAGCGGUACUCAAUCCGUUACAGGCAAUGAGGGCGGAUCUGGCAAACUGUCAGAGGGGUGGAACUCCCGUGG
rfam:Clostridiales bacterium CHKCI001 isolate CHKC1 genome assembly, contig: {contig10}